rnacentral:rRNA from 1 species
AACUUGACGGUACUGUAAGAAUAAGGAUCGGCUAACUCCGUGCCAGCAGCCGCGGUAAUACGGAGGAUCCGAGCGUUAUCCGGAAUUAUUGGGUUUAAAGGGUUCGUAGGCGGUUAGAUAAGUCAGUGGUGAAAUUUCCUAGCUUAACUAGGGCACUGCCAUUGAUACUGUUUAACUUGAAUAGUAUGGAAGUAACUAGAAUAUGUAGUGUAGCGGUGAAAUGCUUAGAUAUUACAUGGAAUACCAAUUGCGAAGGCAGGUUACUACGUACUUAUUGACGCUGAUGAACGAAAGCGUGGGGAGCGAACAGGAUUAGAUACCCUGGUAGUCCACGCCGUAAACGAUGGAUACUAGCUGUUCGGUCUUCGGAUUGAGUGGCUAAGCGAAAGUGAUAAGUAUCCCACCUGGGGAGUACGUUCGCAAGAAUGAAACUCAAAGGAAUUGACGGGGGCCCGCACAAGCGGUGGAGCAUGUGGUUUAAUUCGAUGAUACGCGAGGAACCUUACCAGGGCUUAAAUGUAGAUUGACAGAUUUGGAAACAGAUUUUUCUUCGGACAAUUUACAAGGUGCUGCAUGGUUGUCGUCAGCUCGUGCCGUGAGGUGUCAGGUUAAGUCCUAUAACGAGCGCAACCCCUAUUGUUAGUUGCCAGCGAGUAAUGUCGGGAACUCUAGCAAGACUGCCGGUGCAAACCGUGAGGAAGGUGGGGAUGACGUCAAAUCAUCACGGCCCUUACGUCCUGGGCUACACACGUGCUACAAUGGCAAGUACAGAAAGCAGCUACCUGGCAACAGGAUGCGAAUCUCCAAAGCUUGUCUCAGUUCGGAUUGGAGUCUGCAACUCGACUCUAUGAAGCUGGAAUCGCUAGUAAUCGGAUAUCAGCCAUGAUCCGGUGAAUACGUUCCCGGGCCUUGUACACACCGCCCGUCAAGCCAUGGAAGCUGGGGGUACCUGAAGUCGGUGACCGCAAGGAGCUGCCUAGGGUAAAACUAGUAACUAGGGCUAAGUCGUAACAAGGUAGCCGUACCGGAAGGUGCGGCUGGAACACCUCCUUUCUAGA